UGCUCUUGAGUAUGCUUUGAAAUACUAAUUGAAUAGUGAGUGAAAAACACCCACCUUUCUACAACACUUUCUACAGGGUAUUGCGAACGACGAAUAGAAAUAAAAAGUGUUUGGGCAAAAGCAUUUGAAAUGCAUUUCGUUGGUUUCUCUCAAGAGCGCCAAGAGCGAACCCAGGGGCAAGGCAAAGGUUGCACUUACCCAACUGUCUGCUGACUGUUGGGUGUCCAAUCGCUUGUGACGAACGAUCCGAUGCGAUCUCUAAGUCAACGACGACGACGACGACGACUGCGGCGGCGGCGGCGGAGUUACAGUCACAGCUGACAACUCACUGAGCGCGCAAUGAUUAAUCGCGCAAUUGUCCAAAGAAACGGCAGCUAAAAAGAUACAGCAAACAGAUACAGAUACAUUGCCACGAUAGUGAGCGACCGAGACAGACAGAUAGACAGACAGAGAGACAGAAAGUACGAAACGCCGAAAGACAGCGAGAGAUAGAAGAAGUAAAUGGUCGUGUUGCCGGAAACCAUUUACAAAAGCUGUCACCAGAGUGCGGCCGGCCACUUUAAUCGGAAUCAAUCAAUAGAAUCGACUCAAAUCGAUCAGCAGAGUCAGUUUACGCUCUGAUUGAAGGGUUCGAACACAUUGCAUAAUGCUGCUUAAAUGCUUAAACAUUUGCCCACGCAUCAAAUGACCCGCACCCGCUUUAGGUCAACCAGUUGGUUAACCCUAAAAAGAAGAGUGAAAGAGAAAGAGAUGGAGCAACACGUAGCAAGCGUGGCAUGUAAUUGUAUGUACAUUAAAGUUGCUCCAGCUGAUUAAAAUUCCAAUGCAACAUUCAGUUCGAUUCUUGUUAACAUGCAGCUGGACCUGGAGAUGGGGCUGGGACAAGGCAUGUCCAAAAUGUGGCACCUGCAGCACCACCAUCACCACGUUUAAGGUCUGGCAGCUUCGAGCUUAUCAGCUGCAUUGCGAUCAAUCGAUCGCUGAGCCAACGACGAUCAAGCAUAGAAAGUGAUCGUUGCAAAAAAAAACGAAGCAAAUGAAAAUGUCGACAGAAAAACUAGAAGAAAAUGUUGCUCAACAAGGACGCAACAUGGUCGCCGAGACAUUCUAGCAAAACGUCGCGUUCUCAACGAUCGCAUCGACGGAUGGCCAACGAUCGCCGGCGGUGACAUCUUGUCAACUCGCAAAUAAAAAAAAAAGGAAAACAAUCAUGAUCAACAAAAUGCUGGAAAGCUGCCUUGAGCCCUGGACUAACCAUACCCUGGACAAUUCUAUUCACGGGCCACGCAGAUCCAGCCUAGCUAACGAUGAUCAUCAUCUAGCGAUCGUUACAAACAGGCAGCGGCAGCUAUUGACAGCAGCUUGGUAGGUUCACACAUAAGUGAGGCAUCAUUCAAGCCGUCAAUGCAACCGAUUAAAAGUCGAACACACAUUCAAUUUUUUUUUUUGUUGCUUUUUGUUUUAAGGAGUUGCACACACGCCGUUGAUGGUGGCCGAUCUCUGUGUUGAUCGUGUCCAACUCUUGACAUCGGUCACCUAUCACCUGUCACCAGAGAGCCAUAAUCAGGCCAAAUAUCACAGUUCGCUUCGAAGUUGGAGGCGGCCAAAUCUGAAGAUCAGACUAUCAAUCUUCAGCGCUUGUCACCGUAGAGCAAACAGAUCAAAUAUCAGCAGGGCGGCUGGUAACAUGAGAGUGGCCUCAAAUAUAACUGUUGAUUGAAUUAUGAUCGAACUGAUAAGGAGAAGAAAAAAAAUAAAGAGAAUCACAUACCAACUUGGAUGACACAUAAUGUACGAUAUAACAAGUGUGUCAAGAAGUGAACAACUGACAAUUCCAGCCAGCCAAGUGAUAAAAUUCUCUAAAGCAGAUUAACAUAAGAAAAGAAUGAGCGGAGUGAGCACACACAUUGGAUUAUUAGAGAAAGCUGUUUAGGAUCCAGAAAUACGUAUAGAAGAGUUCUAAUUAAACGUAAUAAAAAUAGCUUGGUUAAACUUAACUUUGAGCAACUAAAACCAUUUUAGUUAAAAGUUCAAUUAUUCUUGAAUUUGAUGCUUACUUUUAUAUCAGUUUAUUAUAUAGCAUUUUGCUGAAAAGAUUGUACACUCUACUCUUCAUGUUAAUAGAUGUUCAACGAUGCACUCGACGAACAGAACGGAGGCACUUUAAACUGCCCGCCUGCAGUUGAGCUGAAGAAGAAGAAGAAGUCGGUGUAAAUCGUGUAA